rnacentral:lncRNA from 1 species
AUUUUCUGGCUGCGCUCGAAGAUGGCCUGGGCAUCUUUAUCCUUCUCUGUGUCCAGUUCAUACACUGCUGUGGCCCCCAUGUCUUCUGGGCCAACAGGUUUCGCCGACCUUGUUGAUUUGUACGUGACUCCGAUCUCCUUCGACGGAUCAUCAUCAUCGCUGCUGCUCAGCGCAUACGAGGGCCGCUCCUUCGUGCACCUCCUGGUCUUCUGGAUCAUGGGGUUGGGGGUCUCCCGCCGCCGCUCCUUCCGCACCACCGUGCUGCCCUCCUCGCCGCUGCUCUCCUGCUCCUGGUCGCUGCUGGGCCGCUUCCGCCGACCCCUCCCCGCCGCCAGGCCCCGUUUCUUGAAGACGAAGCUGCACACUGAGCCCUCCUCCGCCAUCUUCCGCCGCCGCCG